CCUUGAUCCCAGAGUCUUCACAAAUGCUCACUGAAAAAAAUUGCCAGGACAAUUUAGACCUCUCAUAACUUCUGCUUUGAAAUGUUAAUAAAGAACCUUCUCAAUUUGACUUUCAACUCUGGUACCAAAUCCCAUACCUCUCUACCAGAAAGUUUACCCAAACAACAGGAGGGAAGAGAAAAGAUAUUUCAGAACACCAGAGAUCACUUGCUUUACAGGAGGACAGGAGUAAUGACAUUGUUAUCUGUAGGGAAACAAAGGAUGGUACCUGAGAUAUCCAUUACUCAAGAGAUUUUCUUGAUUUGAAAGAAAACUAACACACACUGAGCUUAAGGGUGUUAAGAAUGAAUGAAGAAGUAGACCAUUUAAAUGUGGCUGAAGUUUCUGUCUUUAUCACCAUGAGAUUCUUUUGAGAAUUCUAAUAUAGGGA
rnacentral:lncRNA from 1 species